GUGCUUGCUUUGGCAGCACACAAACAAAAAUUGGAACCAAACACAGAUUAGCAUUGCCCUGUGCAAGGAGAACAUACAAAAACAAACAAAAAACCUUACUGAA
rnacentral:snRNA from 1 species